CGUACGGGCUGGGUUGGUCUAUUUAAAGUGGUUGCAACUACGACGCAUAACAGUCCUCAGGAGUCGUCCACAGCAAAGAGAUACUGAUUUCAAGUCGCUCGUUUUACGAAGGCAACCAUAGAGAGCGCUUCGAGGAUGGAUUACACAAGAUUCAUGACUGAUGUGACCAAGAAUAGAAAAGCAACACUACUAAGAGAUCUGUUUAACCUGCAACAGCAAGGCAGAGAUGACUGGAUAUAUGAUAGCUGGUUUACCUAACGAGGUUCCUUCUUUCCCUUGAAGGAAGGACAGUUCACUAUGGCAGACGGGACGAAAAUAAUCCUAGAUAAAAACACGAUGAAAGAGUGCUUGCAGUAUGGACCAUCAGGCGGAUAUCCUCCGCUGGUGAAGCAGCUGGAAGCAAUGGUGAAGAAGCACCACAAUCCUCCGCGGUGGUCCGAGAGAAAACUGAUGACCAUCAACGGCAUCCAAGAUGGCCUCGCUGCGACUGUAACAAUGAUGAUGAACGAAAGAGACUUCGUUCUCUUGGCAAAACCAACUUACAGCACUUAUUUGUCACUCGUAAGUCUUGGGAGAACUCGGUUAUCCCCUCUUCUUUGAGGUCAGAGAGGUGUUCUUAGGCUAUUCCACCAAAAUUCACCAUUUUUGAAAGUAAAUUGUAUUUUUCCUAACUAUACAAACCUCAGAUCCUUUACAUAAGGAAUUACUAUCCAGCACCAGCUGGACCAGUCGUAAGAUUUACUAACAAGGUACUUCGGCAGUAACUGUUUAUCCGAUGGUCAGGAGUCCCACCCGACUGGAAGUAAACAUACCACUUUGCUUUAGGCCCAGGUACAGUGAGGGGUGACAUGAGGUAGGACUAUAUGUAAAGGACCUCAGAUUUGUAGUUAGGAAAAAUACAAUCUACUUUCGAAAAUUGUGAUUUGUUCCAACACGUUAUCCAAACCAUCGGUCCUUUACAUAAGGAAGACUCACUUAUUGGUGGGAAGAAUCUGAGUCUUGUGAACAGAUUGGUGUUUGCCCAACCUGGGACAAACACCAGUCGUAAGAGCAAAGAGGGGAGAACCUAGCCUCUGUCCAGCUGAUCGGAGUGGGAACUGCAGGAUCAGUGGCCAGACCUCUGGACCAAUUCAUAAGAGUAAGGCAAGCGUACCUCUUAUGAAUAGCAAGCAAGAACUAAUGUCCUAAGUAAGAAGUAUUGGGUUUAUUUCUCGCGCUCGCGGCUAUUCUGGAAUCGUCGGGCGUAUUGUGGUUUUGGAGUGCAACACACGCCUAAGUGGCGGGAGAAAUGCCGCGAUUUCUAAUGCAAUACCUCAUCGAGAUUCAUCUAAGGAGUUCUAGAAAUCGCUGGAGCCUGACGUUGGCCGUAGGCUCCGCCCCCAGAAUGCCGUAUAAAUACGACGGACGAAGUGGCAGCAGGAGGAGGAGAUAUAGAGAGAGAUCGUAAAAGAGAUUCCAGUUAGUCACAGAGAGAUAUCCUCAGUAAGAGCCACAGAUCCGAUUAUCAGUGAGAGAUCAGCAGCAGCAGAGAUCAUUCGUGAGAGAUACGAGAAAAAGGAACCAACGAAGGAUCAGAAGAAAAGUUGUUCGAGAGUUGGUUGGAUACUGGUCUGGUCGUCUUCAGGAGUGGACGGCCGUGUUAUCUCGACGCCAAACAGACUUCAGGGAAGAAAAGGUCCCGCUACAGGUUUUGGGGAGUUCCGGCCUUACAAGCAGACUAUUUUCUGUGAUACGGAGUCAAGAGGACGUCUGCAAUUGCCGCUCUCCUUUUGUGAAGCCACCACUUCGAAUUGCCAAACUGACUAGCAAGUAUUUGAAUUGCCUCACUGUUCCCCCAAGUACAUGCAGAGUAAGAUUCUAUCUUUUUAUGCAAAUAGGAGAUACCAUUCUGCAUUUACCUUUGUUAGUAAGCUUGUAAAUAAACCUUUGUUGUGUUAGUGUUUCUUUCUAUAUUCGUAUCCACAGUUUCAACUGUUGGUGUUGAAAUAUUUUUUUUUUAUUAUUUCAUAUCGAACCUGAAGCGGACCUCUCUCAGAGGCCGUAACAUUGUGUCGACCUUUGGCCAGGAUAUUUCGACACCAUAACAUUGUGUCGACCUUUGGCCAGGAUAUUUCGACACCGUAACAGUAAGCUGCAAAACUUGUUGAGCAGCCACCACGGGUCCCAAGGAAAAAGUGUCCAAAAAACCUAUGGGCAAAAUCCCGAAGGUAGGA